GGGUUGUGAGGUUAAGCGACUAAGCGUACACGGUGGAUGCCCUGGCAGUCAGAGGCGAUGAAGGACGUGCUAAUCUGCGAUAAGCGUCGGUAAGGUGAUAUGAACCGUUAUAACCGGCGAUUUCCGAAUGGGGAAACCCAGUGUGUUUCGACACACUAUCAUUAACUGAAUCCAUAGGUUAAUGAGGCGAACCGGGGGAACUGAAACAUCUAAGUACCCCGAGGAAAAGAAAUCAACCGAGAUUCCCCCAGUAGCGGCGAGCGAACGGGGAGGAGCCCAGAGCCUGAAUCAGUGUGUGUGUUAGUGGAAGCGUCUGGAAAGGCGCGCGAUACAGGGUGACAGCCCCGUACACAAAAAUGCACAUGCUGUGAGCUCGAUGAGUAGGGCGGGACACGUGGUAUCCUGUCUGAAUAUGGGGGGACCAUCCUCCAAGGCUAAAUACUCCUGACUGACCGAUAGUGAACCAGUACCGUGAGGGAAAGGCGAAAAGAACCCCGGCGAGGGGAGUGAAAAAGAACCUGAAACCGUGUACGUACAAGCAGUGGGAGCCUCUUUUAUGGGGUGACUGCGUACCUUUUGUAUAAUGGGUCAGCGACUUAUAUUCUGUAGCAAGGUUAACCGAAUAGGGGAGCCGAAGGGAAACCGAGUCUUAACUGGGCGUUAAGUUGCAGGGUAUAGACCCGAAACCCGGUGAUCUAGCCAUGGGCAGGUUGAAGGUUGGGUAACACUAACUGGAGGACCGAACCGACUAAUGUUGAAAAAUUAGCGGAUGACUUGUGGCUGGGGGUGAAAGGCCAAUCAAACCGGGAGAUAGCUGGUUCUCCCCGAAAGCUAUUUAGGUAGCGCCUCGUGAAUUCAUCUCCGGGGGUAGAGCACUGUUUCGGCAAGGGGGUCAUCCCGACUUACCAACCCGAUGCAAACUGCGAAUACCGGAGAAUGUUAUCACGGGAGACACACGGCGGGUGCUAACGUCCGUCGUGAAGAGGGAAACAACCCAGACCGCCAGCUAAGGUCCCAAAGUCAUGGUUAAGUGGGAAACGAUGUGGGAAGGCCCAGACAGCCAGGAUGUUGGCUUAGAAGCAGCCAUCAUUUAAAGAAAGCGUAAUAGCUCACUGGUCGAGUCGGCCUGCGCGGAAGAUGUAACGGGGCUAAACCAUGCACCGAAGCUGCGGCAGCGACGCUUAUGCGUUGUUGGGUAGGGGAGCGUUCUGUAAGCCUGUGAAGGUGUGCUGUGAGGCAUGCUGGAGGUAUCAGAAGUGCGAAUGCUGACAUAAGUAACGAUAAAGCGGGUGAAAAGCCCGCUCGCCGGAAGACCAAGGGUUCCUGUCCAACGUUAAUCGGGGCAGGGUGAGUCGACCCCUAAGGCGAGGCCGAAAGGCGUAGUCGAUGGGAAACAGGUUAAUAUUCCUGUACUUGGUGUUACUGCGAAGGGGGACGGAGAAGGCUAUGUUGGCCGGGCGACGGUUGUCCCGGUUUAAGCGUGUAGGCUGGUUUUCCAGGCAAAUCCGGAAAAUCAAGGCUGAGGCGUGAUGACGAGGCACUACGGUGCUGAAGCAACAAAUGCCCUGCUUCCAGGAAAAGCCUCUAAGCAUCAGGUAACAUCAAAUCGUACCCCAAACCGACACAGGUGGUCAGGUAGAGAAUACCAAGGCGCUUGAGAGAACUCGGGUGAAGGAACUAGGCAAAAUGGUGCCGUAACUUCGGGAGAAGGCACGCUGAUAUGUAGGUGAAGCGACUUGCUCGUGGAGCUGAAAUCAGUCGAAGAUACCAGCUGGCUGCAACUGUUUAUUAAAAACACAGCACUGUGCAAACACGAAAGUGGACGUAUACGGUGUGACGCCUGCCCGGUGCCGGAAGGUUAAUUGAUGGGGUUAGCGCAAGCGAAGCUCUUGAUCGAAGCCCCGGUAAACGGCGGCCGUAACUAUAACGGUCCUAAGGUAGCGAAAUUCCUUGUCGGGUAAGUUCCGACCUGCACGAAUGGCGUAAUGAUGGCCAGGCUGUCUCCACCCGAGACUCAGUGAAAUUGAACUCGCUGUGAAGAUGCAGUGUACCCGCGGCAAGACGGAAAGACCCCGUGAACCUUUACUAUAGCUUGACACUGAACAUUGAGCCUUGAUGUGUAGGAUAGGUGGGAGGCUUUGAAGUGUGGACGCCAGUCUGCAUGGAGCCGACCUUGAAAUACCACCCUUUAAUGUUUGAUGUUCUAACGUUGACCCGUAAUCCGGGUUGCGGACAGUGUCUGGUGGGUAGUUUGACUGGGGCGGUCUCCUCCUAAAGAGUAACGGAGGAGCACGAAGGUUGGCUAAUCCUGGUCGGACAUCAGGAGGUUAGUGCAAUGGCAUAAGCCAGCUUGACUGCGAGCGUGACGGCGCGAGCAGGUGCGAAAGCAGGUCAUAGUGAUCCGGUGGUUCUGAAUGGAAGGGCCAUCGCUCAACGGAUAAAAGGUACUCCGGGGAUAACAGGCUGAUACCGCCCAAGAGUUCAUAUCGACGGCGGUGUUUGGCACCUCGAUGUCGGCUCAUCACAUCCUGGGGCUGAAGUAGGUCCCAAGGGUAUGGCUGUUCGCCAUUUAAAGUGGUACGCGAGCUGGGUUUAGAACGUCGUGAGACAGUUCGGUCCCUAUCUGCCGUGGGCGCUGGAGAACUGAGGGGGGCUGCUCCUAGUACGAGAGGACCGGAGUGGACGCAUCACUGGUGUUCGGGUUGUCAUGCCAAUGGCACUGCCCGGUAGCUAAAUGCGGAAGAGAUAAGUGCUGAAAGCAUCUAAGCACGAAACUUGCCCCGAGAUGAGUUCUCCCUGACUCCUUGAGAGUCCUGAAGGAACGUUGAAGACGACGACGUUGAUAGGCCGGGUGUGUAAGCGCAGCGAUGCGUUGAGCUAACCGGUACUAAUGAACCGUGAGGCUUAACCUUACAACGCCGAAGGUGUUU
rnacentral:rRNA from 1 species